rnacentral:rRNA from 1 species
UGGGGAAUAUUGCACAAUGGGGGAAACCCUGAUGCAGCGACGCCGCGUGAGCGAAGAAGGUUUUCGAAUCGUAAAGCUCUGUCCUAUGAGAAGAUAAUGACGGUAUCAUAGGAGGAAGCCCCGGCUAAAUACGUGCCAGCAGCCGCGGUAAUACGUAUGGGGCGAGCGUUGUCCGGAAUUAUUGGGCGUAAAGGGUACGUAGGCGGUCUAUUAAGCGUGUUGUGAAAUUUACCGGCUCAACCGGUGGCUUGCAGCGCGAACUGGUCGACUUGAGUAUGCAGGAAGUAGGCGGAAUUCAUGGUGUAGCGGUGAAAUGCUUAGAUAUCAUGACGAACUCCGAUUGCGCAGGCAGCUUACUGUAGCAUAACUGACGCUGAUGCUCGAAAGUGCGGGUAUCAAACAGG